GGGGGGGGGGGGGGGGGGGGCGGGGGCGUGGGGGGCGGGCGGACGGGCGGGGGGCUUGCUUCUCUGAGGUUAGCGGCGGACGGGUGAGUAACACGUGGAUAACCUACCUAUAAGACUGGGAUAACUUCGGGAAACCGGAGCUAAUACCGGAUGAUAUUUUGAACCGCAUGGUUCAAAAGUGAAAGACGGUCUUGCUGUCACUUAUAGAUGGAUCCGCGCUGCAUUAGCUAGUUGGUAAGGUAACGGCUUACCAAGGCAACGAUGCAUAGCCGACCUGAGAGGGUGAUCGGCCACACUGGAACUGAGACGCGGUCCAGACUCCUACGGGAGGCAGCAGUAGGGAAUCUUCCGCAAUGGGCGAAAGCCUGACGGAGCAACGCCGCGUGAGUGAUGAAGGUCUUCGGAUCGUAAAACUCUGUUAUUAGGGAAGAACAUAUGUGUAAGUAACUGUGCACAUCUUGACGGUACCUAAUCAGAAAGCCACGGCUAACUACGUG
rnacentral:rRNA from 1 species